UCUCUCUCUCUCUCUCUCUCUCUCUCUCUCCCAAUAUUAAGGUUCGUUACGGGCUUAGCCCUGGCCCUGGGUUAGGCAACAUGUUCCUCAACGGGUUGUCUUAGGCUAGGCCCAGCUGGAUCGGGCUAAGAAGGCCUCAGUCGAAACCCAGCCCUAAUAGAUCUUAGAUUUGAAAACAUUACUUACGGUAUAAAGAUCUCACACAUGAUAUCUUAUGCCAAAAAAAAAAAAAGAGCAUGUAUCUAUUAUUUUCUAAACCCCUCCCUCUAAUGUGUUUUUUAUCUUCUCCAAAACCCCUCUCUUUCUCUCGCCCAUCUCUCUUUCAUCCAUUCUCGAUAUACUUUUGUUUGGACUAUAAAGGUAGGGCCAGUCCACUUGGGCCCUUGAGCAGCGGUGGCCCGGCCCUCAUGCCACAUACGCUGUCCAUGCCCUAAUUGUUUUUAGACCAGGAUGGAACGUCCAGCCCGUUGCCACCUCACAAAUACCCUCGUUCCAAUCCAAUGAGUCCGUCUGUUUCUUACCCCCUAUUUAUUACCUAAAAAAAAAUGCCAACUCUCUCUCUCUAAAACGAGAGCUCUC
rnacentral:lncRNA from 1 species